rnacentral:rRNA from 1 species
AGAGGUUUGAUCCUGGCUCAGGAUGAACGCUGGCGGCGUGCCUAACACAUGCAAGUCGAGCGAUUCUCUUCGGAGAAGAGCGGCGGACGGGUGAGUAACGCGUGGGUAACCUGCCCUGUACACACGGAUAACGUACCGAAAGGUAUGCUAAUACGAGAUAAUAUGCUUUUAUCGCAUGGUAGAAGUAUCAAAGCUCCGGCGGUACAGGAUGGACCCGCGUCUGAUUAGCUAGUUGGUAAGGUAACGGCUUACCAAGGCGACGAUCAGUAGCCGACCUGAGAGGGUGAUCGGCCACAUUGGAACUGAGACACGGUCCAAACUCCUACGGGAGGCAGCAGUGGGGAAUAUUGCACAAUGGGCGAAAGCCUGAUGCAGCAACGCCGCGUGAGCGAUGAAGGCCUUCGGGUCGUAAGGCUCUGUCCUCAAGGAAGAUAAUGACGGUACUUGAGGAGGAAGCCCCGGCUAACUACGUG